UUAACGCGCAGGCCGGAGGCUGGCCCCCCCACGAUAGGGUCAAACGUCCGUCAGGGGUGAGCAGAUGUGCGCCGGCCGUACCGCCCCAUUCUUGUCUACCUUACUCGGUUGCCUCGGCGGGCCGCGCUCUUUCAGGAGAGCCGUUCGGCGAGUCUUUCUUUAGUGGCUCAACGCUGGACCGCGCCCGCCGGAGGACAGACGCAAAAAAUUCUUUCAGAAGAGCUGUCAGUCUGAGCGUUAGCAAGCAAAAAUCAGUUAAAACUUUCAACAACGGAUCUCUUGGUUCCGGCAUCGAUGAAGAACGCAGCGAAAUGCGAUAAGUAAUGUGAAUUGCAGAAUUCCGUGAAUCAUCGAAUCUUUGAACGCACAUUGCGCCCCCUGGUAUUCCGGGGGGCAUGCCUGUUCGAGCGUCAUUUCAGCCCCUCAAGCCCGGCUUGUGUGAUGGACGACCGUCCGGCGCCCCCGUCUUUGGGGGUGCGGGACGCGCCCGAAAAGCAGUGGCCAGGCCGCGAUUCCGGCUUCCUAGGCGAAUGGGCAACAAACCAGCGCCUCCAGGACCGGCCGCCCUGGCCUCAAAAUCUGUUUUAUAUUUAUCAGGUU
rnacentral:rRNA from 1 species